rnacentral:lncRNA from 1 species
GGGUUUAAAAUAAACUUCUCUUAUAAAAAUAACUCCAAAAUCUUACAACUUUACAGGAAAUAAAUAAAGCUCUAUUGCUCUCAUCUAAUUCAGUCUCAACUGGUUUAGUCUUUGUCUUGCCUACUAAUUCAUCUGAAAGAUUAAACAGGAUGAAGGAUGAGCAACCACCGCUCAGUAGGGACAUGAGACCUUACCACAGUAUAUUGAUAUAACUAAGUUAAGUGACAUGCAAUCGCACAACCAAAUAUCACAUUAAUAAUAAUACAUGAAUGAAUGCUCUUUAUCUACUCCCGUUAAUUCAUAUAACUGGACAAGCAGACCAGCACGUCUCAUACCAUGCUUAUACCACUUGGUCCUGAAUGCCCAUUUAUAUGAACUAACACCCAUUUCAAUCAUCCCAUAAUUCCCUUUUUGUUAGUUAUCUUGUCUAACUCCCUGUUGCCAGUCCCGAAUCACUCAAUAAAAAUCAUGUGCGCUGUGGGAUCCAUGAGACCUAAUACCUGCCAAGAGUUAGACUCAACUACACAAAAGACUAUUUCCAUUACCCUCUUUUCCAUCAUUAUUUUCUCAAUCCAACAACUCCAACCCAUUUCCAUGACAUGAUAUAAUUAUGCCUUUCGCAUAUCCUAUAUAUCUUACAACCAUUUAAAAUAGCACCAAUGCAUAUAUAAUUAUGCCAACAUUGUUCAAAUAGUUAAGAGUAUGUAAACACCCAAUACCAGGAACAUUAAUCAAACUGUAAUAUCAAGAACAUCCAUUAUAAUAUCACACAUAAUAUAGAGCUCACGAAAUUUAAUUAUAUCAAUCUCCGUAAAGGUCUCAAGAAACCCCCUACCUCGACACCAAAGCUUUUGCUAGAAAUAUAAGGUGUUUUCCCAAUUUUCCACUAUAUCCACAAACUCGGUCUCCCACCCUUUUUCUUAACAAUUCUUCUUCUCUCUAAAUUUCUU